rnacentral:rRNA from 1 species
ACGGGAGGCAGCAGUGGGGAAUAUUGGACAAUGGGGGAAACCCUGAUCCAGCGACGCCGCGUGAGUGAAGAAGUAUUUCGGUAUGUAAAGCUCUAUCAGCAGGGAAGAUAAUGACGGUACCUGACUAAGAAGCCCCGGCUAACUACGUGCCAGCAGCCGCGGUAAUACGUAGGGGGCAGGCGUUAUCCGGAUUUACUGGGUGUAAAGGGAGCGUAGACGGAAGGCCAAGUCUGAUGUGAAAACCCGGGGCUCAACCCCGGGACUGCAUUGGAAACUGGUCAUCUAGAGUGCAGGAGAGGUAAGUGGAAUUCCUAGUGUAGCGGUGAAAUGCGUAGAUAUUAGGAGGAACACCAGUGGCGAAGGCGGCCUGCUGGGCUUUAACUGACGCUGAGGCUCGAAAGUGUGGGGAGCAAACAGGAUUAGAUACCCUGGUA